rnacentral:lncRNA from 1 species
AUGGAAGCCACCGCCUGGCAUUCAAGGAAGCAAAAUGCCAGUGGCAAGUGCCUGACACAAGCGGCCUCCUGCCAGGAGGCCCUGUUCUUCAGCGGGGAGCUAAAUCCGGCCAGUUUUUGGAAGGGGCAGUGUCAGAGGCUGACCGGAGAGAACCUGCGUCAAGGAGGGCGCUGCCACCGUGUGCGGGCUCCCUCGGCGUCUUCCACGGACCCCCGCGCACCUCGGCUUCGGCGCCUUUGGAGAGGAGGCCCCGCCGGGGCAGGGGAAUACGAAGGACCUUUGUCUGCCGGAGAUCAGCGCUCCGUCACCGUGUUGCUAUUGUGAGGAUGGAAAAAAUAGAACCACGUUAAUGUUGUGCUGUUUGCAUUUCCCGACAGUUAAGGAGCAGCCCAUUAUUAGCUGGUAACGCUGUUGUGACAUCAGUGGUGACUUUGCUGCUUGGGAUUCAGCUCAUGAAAUAUUUUCCUCCCUGGUGCAAUUAUUUCUCUUUCUUCUUUCUUUCUUUUCUUUUCUUUUCUUUUCUUUUCUUUUCUUUCUUUCUUUUCUUUUCUUUCUUUCUUUCUUUCUUUCUCUCUCUUUCUUUCUUUCUUUCCUUCUUUCUCUUCUUUCACCUUUGAUGUUUCAUUUUCAUGCAAAUGAGUGGCUGAAUGGCCAUCCAUGCUUCUAGUCUUUUCAAGAAUUGAUGACCAGAGAUGCUAACGUGUCAGACUUAACCCAAUUUCAAAACAUUAGAUCCCCAGACACCACUUACUUUUAUUUANUUAUUUAUUUAUUUAUUUAUGAUAGUCACACAGAGAGAGAUGAGAGAGAGGCAGAGACACAGGCAGAGGGAGAAGCAGGCUCCAUGCACCAGGAGCCCAACGUGGGACUCUAUCCCGGGUCUCCAGGGUCGCGCUCUGGGCCAAAGGCAGGCGCCAAACCACUGUGCCACCCAGGGAUCCCCAACACCACUUACUUUUAUCUAUCUAUCUAUUUAUCUAUCUAUCUAUCUAUUCGUGAGUGACACAGACAGAGAGAGGCAGAGGCAGAGACAGAGAGAAGCAGGCUCCCUAUGCGGCGCCUGAGGUGGGACUCGAUCCCAGGGCCCCAGGGAUCGUGCUUUGAGCCCAAGGCAGAUGCCCAACUACUGAGCCACCCGGGUACAAGGAUGCCACUCUCUUAGGGUCUUUCCAUAAAUGGGCAAGGGAGCUGUCGCUGCCACUCUGGCAUGAGUUGGGGUGGCGGUGGCGGUGGGUAGAGCGAGGAGAACCUGGCACGGAGGAAGGAGAGUGUCUGUGCUCUGUUCUGGCACAGAUGUCAGAGCCUGAGCAGGGCGAGGCUGUCCCAGGAUGGGGUGGGAGGGGGUGCGGGAGUGGCUUGGAGACUGGUGGACAGUCCUGACACGUUAGCAUCUCUGGUCAUCAAUCCUUGAAAAGACUAGAAGGGCAGAUGGCCAUUCAGCCACUCAUUUGCAUGAUAAUGAAACAUGAAAGGUGAAAGAAGAGAAGGAAGGAAGGAAGGAAGGAAGGAAGGAAGGAAGGAAGGAAGGAAGAAAGAAAAGAAAAGAAAAAUCAAAAGGACACCCUGCCGGGGGUGGGGACUGUGAAGGCAACAGGAAGGAGACUGGUCAUUCGAAGUGGGGGUGGACCCAAUACAGAAUAUAUUGAGGACAAUUGGAGUCAGCCUUCUCCUUAUUGGAGAAGAGAAAUACACGUAAAAAUAGGGGUGCCUGGCUGACCCAGUCGGAAGAGCAAGCGACUCUUCAUCUCAGGGUGCUGAGUUCGAGCCCAUGUUGGGCAUAGAGAUUACUAAGAAUAAAUAAAUAAACUUUUAAAAAAGAGAGAAAAAU